ACGAACGCUGGCGGCGUGCUUCACACAUGCCAGUCGAACGGAAAGGCCCUGCUUGCAGGGUACUCGAGUGGCGAACGGGUGAGUAACACGUGGGUGAUCUGCCCUGCACUUCGGGAUAAGCCUGGGAAACUGGGUCUAAUACCGGAUAGGAGCCAUUUUUAGUGUGAUGGUUGGAAAGUUUUUUCGGUGUAGGAUGAGCUCGCGGCCUAUCAGCUUGUUGGUGGGGUAAUGGCCUACCAAGGCGGCGACGGGUAGCCGGCCUGAGAGGGUGGACGGCCACAUUGGGACUGAGAGACGGCCCAGACUCCUACGGGAGGCAGCAGUGGGGAAUAUUGCACAAUGGGCGCAAGCCUGAUGCAGCGACGCCGCGUGGGGGAUGACGGCCUUCGGGUUGUAAACUCCUUUCGCUAGGGACGAAGCUUUUUGUGACGGUACCUAGAGAAGAAGCACCGGCUAACUACGUG
rnacentral:rRNA from 1 species